rnacentral:tRNA from 1 species
GCCGGGGUAGCUCAGCUGGGAGAGCGCUCGGCUGAAGACCGAGUCGCGCACCCGGCAGGUCCCGGGUUCAAAUCCCGGCCCCGGCACCA